rnacentral:lncRNA from 1 species
CCUAGCGCCCCUUGGAAGCCAAGAAUAUGAGGAAGUCUUCUUCCUUCGCGCCUUCUUCUUCCUUACGCUCCAGGGCAGCCUGACAGAGCCGCUCGAAGGCUCUGCUGGCCGCGGCUAGCCGGUUUACCCAUUCCACUGGACCCAGCCACCACCCACUCCUGCUGUCUGGGAAGGACCUCCUUCACCUUAGCAUUUGGAACAGGCUGCAAAGUUCAUUCUUCCUCAUAGCAGCCCCUGCAUUCAGUUUGGUUUAGUUGUUUUAUGUGGUUUCUAGCCUGAUUUUUUUUUUCAGGGUGCAGCAGAAGUCUCAGGUAGCUGAGAAGUUCAUGGAAUCUUCUUAUUUGCUACACCUUUCACUACUGCUUGUGAUAUAGUGCAGGGUUGGGAUGUGCAGACAUUUCUCAAGUGCACUGUGUACCUACACAGCAUGCUGCAAUUUGGCUACUGAAGUCAAGAGAAACUGGUUUGAACAACUACUGAGUGUAACAUAGGAAGCGCAUUUCAUUUGAUAACAGGAACACAGCUUUUGUGCUAAUAAAAUGCUUUGAAAAUUAGUGUGUGGUCUUUAGUAAUUAGCAUAUACAUUUUAGUUAUCCAUUGGUUCAUAACAAACGGACUAAAUAGGUACCCCACUGAGUCAUUUAUCUAAAUGAAAAGUUUGGUUAAAUUGUAGUUGUAGGCAUUGAUCAAAGCUAAUGGGAAAAAGAGAUUAAGAUGAAAAUCAUGGGAUUAAAUUUUUAAUUAGUUUG